CAAGUCGUUUCCAUGACGACUACUGUGUUCCACAGAGUAUUGACUGGGCUGUAAAAGACAUGCCUAAAGAAAUCCCAUCUGCAACUUUAGAAAAGCAAGGUCUGAUCUUUAUCCCCAAGCACGCAAUCAAGAUCAAGGAGAAAUGGGAUUGGCUGACAAUGGAUGUGAAGGGACCAUUUCCAGAGACCAAAAGUAGACACAAGUUUGUACUAACUGUAAUGGACUACUACUCCAAAUGGAUGGAAGCCUACCCCAUGAAGACCAACAACAGUAAAGAGAUUGCCAAAAUAAUCUCUGACCUCAUCUCUCGCUUUGGCUUCCCUGUUGGAAUCCUGUCUUGUUUGACUCG